GACGAACGCUGGCGGCGUGCUUAACACAUGCAAGUCGAACGGUGAACCUCUUCGGAGGGGAUCAGUGGCGAACGGGUGAGUAACACGUGGGCAACCUGCCCCCGGCUCUGGGAUAACUCCAAGAAAUUGGGGCUAAUACCGGAUGUUCACCGCUUCCCGCAUGGGUGGUGGUGGAAAGGGUUUCCGGCUGGGGAUGGGCCCGCGGCCUAUCAGCUUGUUGGUGGGGUAGUGGCCUACCAAGGCGACGACGGGUAGCCGGCCUGAGAGGGUGACCGGCCACACGGGGACUGAGACACGGCCCAGACUCCUACGGGAGGCAGCAGUGGGGAAUCUUGCGCAAUGGGCGGAAGCCUGACGCAGCGACGCCGCGUGGGGGAUGACGGCCUUCGGGUUGUAAACCUCUUUCAGCAGGGACGAAGCGCAAGUGACGGUACCUGCAGAAGAAGCACCGGCCAACUACGUG
rnacentral:rRNA from 1 species